CUUAGCUCUGACUUGUAGUACUGAAGUGUUCAUUUGGGAAUAGAUGCACGAACCGAAAUGAUGUCCAUUUUCACUCCAGAGUGACCGAUCACUUAAAGCUCUCACAAGUGCAUCCGUGUGUGGUUAAAAUGAGCUGAAAUCUGGAGCUCUGUGGAGGUGAUUAGAAAGAUUUAAUCAGGCACUGCAUUAUGUUACAUCAUCCUGGUGCUGAUAUCUGAACCUGAGAGAUGAGAGUCUGGGCUGCCCAGCAGCAGUGGGGAUCGGGGAUGGGGUGGGAUGCAGGGAGAGAAGCACUUGCUUGGACCAAGAACAAGUGAGCCCAGUGUGGGAAGAUGAGCCUUUUCCCAUGAUGGAUUGAGCCAUGGAGUGUGCUGCAACCUGGCAUCCUGGCUGGAACGUCCGCUUAACCCUGGGGGUUGCUGCUCAUUUCUGUGUUCAGGCCUUCCUUCCCUCUUGCUUGUUUAAACAUGGAUAAUCUCCUUGGUACAAUGGGUAUUUGUUGUUGGACUUAGCAGUAAAGCUCCUGCAAAGCUCGGGGUGAAGGCAGGGAGCAGCUGGCAACGUGUUCCUCUGAGGGCUUCUGCUCUUGUCCCCGCUCACCUCUUCAUCUCAUCCCUUUCUUUGCACUGCUGUCUCUUGGUUCUCCUCAUUGCUCUCCCUUGUCACGUCUGUGUUCCAGGUACCUGCUGUCCAAACUGCAUGGUUCCUUGCUGUGACACCAGACCCUCACGGGGCAUCCCUGCCCAAAGCAGGUAUGAGACCCCCAGGGAAAGUGCUUCACCCUCUCCAUCACAGGGAACUUCUCAGAGCGAUGUGGCUGAAGCUAAGCUCCCUCCUACAUAAAAGCACAGAGCUCCCACGAGCGCUGUCUUCUAUUGCACAUUCUAGCCUCAGGUGGCACAUGCCCCUCUCUGCAAGCAGGGCUGCCCAGAGACAUGAGUCAACACAGGGCAAGCCUGAGCUGCCAUGCUGCACAUUCACACUGCCUUGAGUCAGGUCAACGUUAAAUAUGACCACAGACAGCUCGCUGAAAGAUUUAAGCGCAUCAGCU
rnacentral:lncRNA from 1 species